GAAACUGGUCUCGCUGAUCCCUCCUUUCUGAAGAACUGUAAUGUCAUUAAUUUGGUGUUGCAGGGAAACAGGACUGUUACUUUGAAAAAAUUAGAGUGUUUAAAGCAGGCUAACGCUUGAAUACAUUAGCAUGGAAUAAUGAAAUAGGACGUUCAAACCUAUUUUGUUGGUUUCUAGGAUUGACGUAAUGAUUAAUAGGGAUAGUUGGGGGCAUUAGUAUUCAAUUGUCAGAGGUGAAAUUCUUGGAUUUAUUGAAGACUAACUACUGCGAAAGCAUUUGCCAAGGAUGUUUUCAUUAAUCAAGAACGAAAGUUAGGGGAUCGAAGACGAUCAGAUACCGUCGUAGUCUUAACCAUAAACUAUGCCGACUAGGGAUCGGAUGAUGUUAAUUUUUUAAUGACUCAUUCGGCGCCUUACG
rnacentral:rRNA from 1 species